GUAGGUGAACCUGCGGAAGGACCAUUACUAAAUUGUGAAUUUAAUUCUGUUGAACCGUGGGGGGAAGGUUGGUGGAUGGAGACAUCUCAUGGAGACAUCUCCACACACCGCUACCCUCAUCAUAUAACACUGUUGCAUCAUGGACCAUGUUGAGAUAUUAAUGUAAACAACUUUUAACAAUGGAUCUCUUGGCUCUU
rnacentral:misc_RNA from 1 species